rfam:Morus notabilis contig3381, whole genome shotgun sequence.
AAAUGAUAAAGGUGUUGGCGCGGCUCAAUCUAAAUACAUGGUUAAACACGAGUAUUAGCCAUGUGAUUUGAUUGAGCCGCGUCAAUAUCUCCUUUAAUUAU